GUGGAACCCAACAAAAUGUUUCGUCAGGAUGACUCAAGAGAUUUCCCUGUUCUUGCUGAAGCAGAUAGCCAGAGCCAGCAGCAUGAUAGAUCCCAGCCAGAUAGAUCCCAAACAGGAUGCAGGCAUCUGACUUCGGCAUGGAAGGAAAUAGCUGAAACCAGGGCAAUGGAAGCUUACAGGUUUACAAGCCGUGCCCCACCUACCAGCACGCACUCGGCUGAUGAACGUCCCUUGGGCCUGUUUGUAAUUCACGCAGUGACAGAGAGUGGGAAGGCUGUGAAACUGCUGGCUGGGCUUGAUAACUAUCGGUUGCAGCGUGAACCACCUCGAUGUUGGGUCAGGGACUGUACCGAGCAGGCCUGCUCAACAAAUCAUGCUUCUGGAAGGCAUCUGUCGCAACAGAAUUUCCCAGCUGAGGAAGAUUGCUUGAGCUCCUCGAUUAGAGAGGAAUUUUUUUCAAUGGAUGAAGGCUGUGAUGACUCUGGGACAGCCAGCACCCAGGCAGAUGUUACCAGUGAUGAUGCUAUCACAAGUUUUGCAAAGGAGUAUUCACUAGUUCCCUCAAAUAAGCAAAAGAGUUGUUCUGCUCAGAAUUUUGACCAGCUAGUAGAAAGCUAUUUUGAAGGGAUCUGAGCUUCAGCACAUCUGUUUGUAAUUUGGGAUCCAAAUCUGUUGGAGAUGCAAAUGACAGUCUUCAUGUACACAGUUUAUAGCAACAUAGGCUAAACCCUGCAUUAAAACCGUGAAGGUUCAAAUAGGGUAAAGCCCAGUAUAUUUCUCUUAGAUUGGCAGCCAGCUAAAAAGACAAAAACUGGAAUGAAAAUAGAUCCUUCAUAUCAGUUGCUGCCUUCUUGGGGAGUUUAGAAACCUGUAAUAAUCAUAAGGCAUUAAAAAUGGGAAAAUGACUUUGAGUCUAAGCUAAUGUAAUGACUAUUUCUUUUGCAAUUGUGAGGGAAAUACCAAGAAAUAUGGUUGUAUUUUGUCUCUUUCUCAGCAGUAGAGUCUCAUUUUAAUAACUUCUUGAAGAAUAUUUGAAAUUCAAAGCCCUUGUAUAUGCCAGUAUUUCCUUUCACUAAGUGCUUUAAUUUACUCUAUAGAGGCCUAGAGGGUUUAGUGUUUGUUUUUGUUUUUUUAUUUUUAUUGGUCUACAUCUUAAAAAUUCUAAUCCAAUGCAUAUAUUUUGUUAUUGUACAUAGCUGUUUAUAUAUGAAUAAUGUGAAACAACUAGGGCACAUCCUACUUAAAAAUGGGGGGGGAGUAACAAACAGACCCACUAGCUGGGGUUAAUUGUUCAUGUGAAAUGAAUAAUAUCCUUGUAAUAAACAUUUAUUUUUCUGUUGUGUUUGUGAGAUA
rnacentral:lncRNA from 1 species